CCACCUGUGGAGGAGCAGGAGGGAGGAGGGGGAGUCACAGCUGCACCUCAGCCCUGCAGUCACCACCCUCACCAACCUAAAGACUCACCAGCUCUGGGGGGAAAAACUGAACAGAAAUAGGGUUCCUUCUCUUCUUUUCAUUCCUAGCCUCCAGACUACAAGAAGGACAGCUGCGCUUCACCUGCCAGAGGAUAAAGGGGAGCAAAGGGGUUUUGUGGGGGUCACGCCUGCUUUUCUUCUUUGCUGUCAAACUGUUUUGUUUUGUUUUUGUAAACUCCUGCUUUGGGGCUCAUCCAACUCCAACUGUAUGCUAGCAAAUCCCGCCAUGCCAUCGCUCUGCAGGACCGCAGGCUAUCACCCCUCCCUUGUCUGCCCUGUGCCCUGCCCUGACCCCAGAUUGCUGCUGCCAGCCACCUCCCUCACCCUGAGCCCCUCCUCCUUCCCAUGCCCUCACCCUGAGCCCCUCCUCCUUUCUGCACAGCCUGGUCAACUUUCGCAGCUUCUGUCUCCGACUUCUCCUCACCAUCCUGACUGUCCCUUCCCUGCUCCUGCCCUCAUCUCUCCAGGCGCCUUGGCUCCCCAGGCCCCAGGCCCCUGUCUCCGCUGCCUUCCCCACACCAUGUCCCCAGUCUGGGCCUGGGGGACCUCUAGCAUGCAGGCCCCACCCCAUGGAGUCUGGGACACAUAAACCUUUUUGUGACCUCACUGUCCAUUGACUGUGACCUAUUCUCCUUAACCUGACCCCAGAGCUAGCUUCUGGGUUCUAGCUCAGAUCCAGCCACCAAGUGGCUCAUGGGAUACAUGUUUUACUGGAGACAUGAAGAGUGAAUUAUUGACAGGCGACCACCAUGCCACCCAGAUUGAGGAAAAGGUUGAAAUUCCAGGGCCACGUGACCCACAACUAUAGCCACAUGGAAUCGUCCAGGUGACUCUGGGGAAGCUGGUAUGAGUCUUUACCCCUUAAAGAGGAACCAGAGCUUCGGACAAAGCGUCAACCUGGAUAAACUGCGGACACUGACCCCAGUGGGGCUGCUCUUGUCACUGGUGCCGUGGGACCGGGACACUACAGAGUUCUGGGCAUGAGAAAGCUGUCUAAGCAGCCUGUCAUUGUCAAGAUCAAAUUCUGCAACUGAAGAGCCGAGGAGAUUAAGGGUGUAGGGGGUGUCUGUUUCCUACUGGCUCGGAGCCACACAGGGAGGUUCGUUAAAUGCUAACAUUCUUUAAAAAGUAAAUAAACCUUUAAAA